CAUGUUUUAACGAAAGACUCCCUUGGGAGAAUGAGUUGCCUCUUUAAAUGUAUUUUUUUACCUUUGCUGUUUUAAAGGUGCCUCAAAAGGAGCUGUGGACAUGUUAACAAAAGUGAUGGCACUUGAGUUGGGACCACACAAGAUCCGAACGAAUGCAAUAAAUCCCACCGUAGUGAUGACUGCAAUGGGUCGGAUUGGAUGGAGUGACCCAGCAAAAGCUGCAGGAAUGUUGUCUCGUAUCCCAUUGCAUAGGUUUGCAGGUGAAUGAGCAAGUACUUCUGGAUUUCUCUCAAUGGGGGAAGGGAAGCCUACACUUUUCAUUAAUUGACUAUAAUGAUGUAACUUUUAUCCACAGCUGCCAUUCUGCUGCAUAACUAUUUUAUUAUAUAUUUUGUACUUGGUUGCUUAUUGACUUUCAUGUUGCCACUCUUACUAUUUCAUUACCAUAAAAAUAGCCUUGCUGUAUAUAUUUUUAAAGCA